CCUCAUCUCACUCUUCACUGUCGCGCUCCGGCUCACGUCAGUCUCAGGCCGGGUGGCGGCGGCGGCAGCAGCGAGGUUCCGGCCCGGAGAGCCGACCCGAGUUAGAGGAGGGGACGUGGGGCUGCGGCUGCAGGGACGGACCGGUGCUCACGGUGGAGACAUUUGUUGGAUGCCCACAAUGUGCAAAGCACGGUGCAAGGGAUCCCGUGGUGAACAAGGCACUACCCUUAUCCUUAAGCAUUCCACGUCCUUGGGGUGGAAGGAAACAAGAAAACAAGGGAUCAGAAGAACAUGACGUGGUAAGUGGCCAAGAGAGUAAAGGAAACAAAGGACGUAUGCAAGUUGGCCAUGCUGACCCCCAGCACUCGGGCGUGGCCCCUGCGCACUGUAAGUGCUCAAUGAUUGCUCACAGCAUGAAUGAGUCAUCAGCCUUUGCCCCCUACAGAGCACCUCCACGAGGUUAUUUCAUUUCAGGAAGUCAGCAGGGCAGAGGAGUUAGUGUCCCAGGGCUGCUGUAACCAAGUGCCACCAGCCAGGAUUCUGGAGGCUGGAAGUCUGCAAUCAAAGUGUCGGCAGGGAAGGGUCUGUCCCAGGCCUCUCUUGGCUUGUAGAUGGCUGUCUUCUCUCUGUGUCUCUACAGUGUCUUCCUUGGGUGGGUCCCAAUUUCUCCUUUUUGAGGACACCAGUCAUACUGGAUUAGCGCCCACCCUGAUGACCUCACUUUGAUUUGAUUACCUCUGUAAAGAUCCAUCUCGAAAUAGUUCACAUUCUGAGGUCCUGGGGGUCAGGACUCCAA